CCUACGGGAGGCAGCAGUGAGGAAUAUUGGUCAAUGGGAGAGAUCCUGAACCAGCCAAGCCGCGUGAGGGAAGACGGCCCUAUGGGUUCUAAACCUCUUUUGUCGGAGAACAAAACCCGGGACGUGUCCCGGACUGCGUGUAUCCGAAGAAAAAGCAUCGGCUAACUCCGUGCCAGCAGCCGCGGUAAUACGGAGGAUGCGAGCGUUAUCCGGAUUUAUUGGGUUUAAAGGGUGCGUAGGCGGUCCGUUAAGUCAGCGGUAAAAUGGCGGGGCUCAACCCCGUCGAGCCGUUGAAACUGGCAGACUUGAGUGGGCGAGAAGUACGCGGAAUGCGCGGUGUAGCGGUGAAAUGCAUAGAUAUCGCGCAGAACUCCGAUUGCGAAGGCAGCGUACCGGCGCCAGACUGACGCUGAGGCACGAAAGCGUGGGGAUCGAACAGGAUUAGAUACCCUUGUAGUC
rnacentral:rRNA from 1 species